CCUCUACUUCCUCCGUUCCAUAAUUCUUGUCGAAAUAUUACAUGAAUCUAGACAAUUUUUAGGAAUAGAUACAUCCAUUUUUGGGCAAAUUUGAGACAAGAAUUAUGGAACAGAGGGAGUACAUA
rfam:Brachypodium distachyon strain Bd21 chromosome 1, whole genome shotgun sequence.